rnacentral:rRNA from 1 species
AAACUUUCAACAACGGAUCUCUUGGCUCUCGCAUCGAUGAAGAACGCAGCGAAAUGCGAUAAGUAAUGUGAAUUGCAGAAUUCCGUGAAUCAUUGAACCUUUGAACGCACAUUGCGCCCUUUGGUAUUCCAUGGGGCAUGCCUGUUCGAGCGUCACU